UUCUGCAGGCCUGUGGGGAGUGAGGAAGCCGAUGGGCGGUCUCUGUCAGAUGCCAGGCAGUGCACAAGCCAUGCAGCCCCAGGCGCCUUUCUUACCAGGUCGCUCACCCUGCACAGGGCCGUUGAGAAAUCCUAGGCAAUGCAUCUGUUCUCUGUCUGGAGUCACUUCAGUGGUUUGCCCCUAGCUUCUUGGAUGUCUUUCUUAAACUGGGGGCAGAUUGAGGGGGAGUUUGUGUCACAGUAGAACCCGUUAUUCUCAACUCCAGACCAACACGGGAAAUCUCCCAUGACUUUUCCCAUAGUUCCUUCCAUUCUGUCAACAGCAGUGUUUAUUCAAACACUGUAAACCUCCUUUAUCAGGAUGGUUUUGGGGAAUAGGACUGAUAACCCUCGGAGGCUAAGCUAAUUAUAGAACGUGUUUCAAAGCUUAUCUUUUUUCCUUAUUAUAAAGUAAUCCAUUUUUUUUUUUUUGACAGGCAGAGUGGACAGUGAGAGAGAGAGACAGAGAGAAAGGUCUUCCUUUGCCGUUGGUUCACCCUCCAAUGGCCGCCGCGGCCGGCGCGCUGCGGCCGGCGCACCGCGCUGAUCCGAUGGCAGGAGCCAGGAGCCAGGUGCUUUUCCUGGUCUCCCAUGGGGUGCAGGGCCCAAGCACCUGGGCCAUCCUCCACUGCACUCCCUGGCCGCAGCAGAGGGCUGGCCUGGAAGAGGGGCACCCGGGACAGAAUCCGGCGCCCCGACCGGGACUAGAACCCGGUGUGCCGGCGCCGCUAGGCGGAGGAUUAGCCUAGUGAGCCGCGGCGCCGGCCGAAAGUAAUCCAUUUUUUAAGUGCCCAAAUGAUGCAAAAAUGAAUGCCGUAGAAGGCGGAUCUCCCUCUACCUCUGCCUCUCUCUUUUUCCAUCAAAUGCAACAACUAAGUAAAAACGUAGAAAACAGGUGCAUGGGAAACAGUGAGCACAUCUCCUAGCACCUCUGCAGCCCCCGCAGGCCUGGGUUUGCCAUCCCUGCUCCCAGCCAGGAUCUGUGACUUUGUGACUUGCAGAGUCAGGAUCCAAACCCACUCUUUAAGCCUGGCAUUAUCUGCUGGCACAAGGCCAACUUCUUAUUUUGCUGUUUUUCUCUGUCCAUGGAUGCCACCUUUUCAGCCAACCACUGAGGCUCAGAACGGGCCACUGCCCCAGCCAGCCACUCCGACCUCUCGCUGCACAGACAGCCCUGGGCGUGAGCACCUUUGUGUGACUAGCAGGGGAGGCUUUGGUGAGUUCCAGUGGUUGGAAUUGACCUGCUUGUUCCACAUGUUUUCCGUGUCAGGGUGUCCGGUGCUUUGGGUUGGUUUUAAUAGCUGACCACAUCCCAUUCCCUAGCCCCUGCUGAGAAGAUGAUGUCCAGACACAGUAGCUUUUCCAGAAAAUGAUGCACCCCCAGGGCACAGUGAACCUCUCAGGUUAACCCAGAAGGCUGCUGGCUGGGAUCUCGCUGGGCCAAGCACAGGUUACCAGGCUCCAGAAGGUCGCAACCCAGCCCCUCCCAGCAGCCUCACGUUACUGGAGAGAGAAAUGAUGAGGUGGAGUGAUGACACGUGGGGUGCAGGGAGUUCUUAGAGCCCGGGCCCGUCUUCCCCAGGCAGGAAAGCACCGACGACAGAGAGGGCGGGGAGCGGGGCUUUCCCUCCUGAGCUGGACGUUCCGCAACCGCAGCGGCGCCUUUCUCAACAGGGGCGGAGCUGGCCCGGGCUUUCUGGAAGGUGGCGAUUUCGAACCACCGAGGCCCUUGUGAGUCAGCGGAGGGUCACAGUGAGUGCUGCAGUGAUUCUUUGAAGACAAAAUGUGAAAAACAAGGGGCUGAGCUGGGGCUGGGGCGUCGUGGGUUAAGCCGCUGUCUGCAGUGCCAGAAUCCCAUAUGGACCCCUGUUCAAGACCCGAGGCUCCAUUUCUGAUCCAUCACCCUGCUAAUGCACCUGGGACAGCAGUGGAAGAUGGCCCAGGGGCUUGGGCCCCUGCACGCAUGUGGGAGACCCAGAAGAGGCUCCUGGCUUCAGUCUGGCUCAGUUCCGGCUGUUGUGGCCAUUUGGGGAGUCUGAUGGAAGAGCGCUCUCUCUCUCUCUCUCUAACUCUGGUAAAUAAAUAAAUUUUAAAAAAAGAAAUGUGAAAAUAAGAUUAGAACCUUUGUGAUUUUUUUAAAAAAUAUUUUAAAUUUAUAUGAAAGCAGAAAGAAAGGUGGGGAGUUGGGCGGGUAGGAUCCUCCAUCCAUUGGUUCACUCCCCCCAAAUGGCCAUAACAGUUAAGGCUACCUCCCAGACAUUCCAGUAUAGGGUUUGGAUACACCAAGUGGCAUCUUAAGCACUGUGCAAAAUGCCAGUGUCUCUUUCGAUGUAUCUCAAGUGUGGUAUCUAGGUGAGAGUGUACGUGUCAGAUUCUGAAUUUCACCCUGGGGUGUGGUUGAAGCAGCAGCCCGUGUGUGUGGACCGUCUGGAGGUGCCUGGCCUUCCUGCAGAGGGAGCGUGCUGCCCUGCCCGUGCAGGCAGCGUCCACGCUGUGGCUCCCUCAUGCCGAGCGUUGGACCCUGCCAUAGACUCUGACCCGCUGGUCCAUCGCUGCAGUUUGUACGGAAUGUCCUGACAUGCAGCAUUUUCCUUGUCUGGACAAAUAAAAAUAAAUACUUCCAUCUUAAACUACACAGGAACAGUGAGUAGACUAGUGAUGAGCUGCUCUUCCCCUCUGUCACCAAAUGUGUGACCUUGUUUGGGGACAACACGAUUAACCUAAAUCCAGCACAGCGCCUGCACACGUUCCACCCUCUCGUUCCAGUCCCAAAUAACGCACAGCUCACACAGCUCCAUGUGGGCUCCCUUCCUGCUCACCGGAUGUUUCACUACCUCUGGCAUUCAUUUCUGUGUCCUUUUGGGGUUUAAAAAAAAAAAGAAUAUUGGGGCCGGCAUUGUAGCAUAGUGGGUAAAGCUGCUGUCUGCAAUGUCAGCAUCCCAUAGGGGCAACAGAUGGCUUCCCGGCUACUCCACUUCCCAUCCUGCUCCCUAUCAAUGGCCUGGGGAAAUCAGUGAAGAUGGCCCAACGGACGGACUGGGCUGCCGCCACCCUCAUGGGAGUCAUGGGAGACCCAGAUGAAGCUUGUGGCUCCUGGCGUCAGCUUGGCCCAUUGCUGGCUGUUGUGGCCAUAUGGGGAGUGAACCAGCAGAUGGAAGAUUCUCUUUCUCGCUCUCGUUCUUGCUCUCUGUCUCUGUAACUCUUUCAAUAAAUAAGUCUUUAAAAAUGAGUAAUAUAUUAGUUUUAGCUCAGCCUCUGAGGGAACAUCCAUCCUAUUUCCCAAAACCAUCGUGAGGGAGGAGGUGUAUGGGGCAUGAAUACAACACCGAUGUAGAGAGAACGGAAAGAACUGUCCAAAAGGUCCCGGGAGAUCUCUGAGUUGCCCUGGAGUUGUUCCACUGUGACCCCCAGUCCCCGUCAACCAGCCCCUACUCUUUUUAGCUUUAAGAAAGAAAUCUGAGACUUUGAGAGGCUAACAUCCGAAUGUAAAGUGAAUUUCUAGGCAGUAAUAAAUGCUUAGGUUACUCAGCAGCCCCCUGCAGGGUGAGCAAUGCCCGGAGGAGGUUAUGCAUAGUUUGUCCACCAGCUGUGAUGUGACCACAGCAGAAGCCUUCACUUCAGCCUUCAAAUUAAAGUCUGCUAAGUAUCGGCCAAGUCAGCAUCAUAGAUCCAAGAACGUUAAUGAUUUUUUUUAAUGGCCAAAGUCUCAAUGUCUCUGUGCCAGAGGGGCUGUGUCCAAAGUCAAAGCGGGCAGCCAUCUGGCCUAGAGGUCAAGCUGCAGGGGGGCUGCCUGUGCCCCAUACUGGAGUGCCUGGGUUCAGCACUGGCUGUGCUCCUAGAAGGCAGCAGGCCAUGGCUCCAGCAUGAGAGUCCCUCCCCCAUGUGGGAGGUCUGAGUGGAGGUUUAGGUUCCAGCUCCCUCCCCCAUGUGGGAGGCCUGAGUGGAGGUUUUGGCUCCAGCUCCCUCCCCCCUGUGGGAGGCCUGAGUGGAGGUUUUGGCUCCUGCCUCAGUCCCUGGCUGAGGUUACUGCAGUCAUCUAGAGAGUGAGACAGUGAAUAAGAGCUCACUCUCUGUUGCUCUGUCUCUGUUUUCUGUCUCCCUGAUUCUCUUUCACUGUCCUCUUUGUCUCUCUCUGCCUCUGAAGAAAUUGUCAAAGUAUACUUUGAGACAUCAAAGCAGUUGUAUCCGAAUUGCUGAGUAAAAUGGUGGCCUUGAAUUGUCUCCCACAGCUCUAAGUGGGCAGUGGAUGUGGGUGCAGCAGUAAUUAACAUGGGUCCUUUUUUCCAUCCCCCAUUGUAGACAUAGUUGCUGUGGUUGCUGACUGCAACUAAUCAGGUUUGUUUAACUUAACAGAUAUUUAAGGCUUGCACCAGAACUCCAGAAAUUAGUCUUUUUUUUUUUAAUUUUUUUUUUUAAUUUUUUUAUUUUUGACAGGCAGAGUGGACAGUGAGAGAGAGAGACAGAGAGAGAAAGGUCUUCCUUUGCCGUUGGUUCACCCUCCAAUGGCCGCCGCUGCAGCCGGCGCACCGCGCUGAUCCGAUGGCAGGAGCCAGGAGCCAGGUGCUUUUCCUGGUCUCCCAUGGGGUGCAGGGCCCAAGCACCUGGGCCAUCCUCCACUGCACUCCCUGGCCAUAGCAGAGAGCUGGCCUGGAAGAGGGGCAACCGGGACAGAAUCCGGCGCCCCGACCGGGACUAGAACCCGGUGUGCCGGCGCCGCUAGGUGGAGGAUUAGCCUAGUGAGCCACGGCGCCGGCCUAGAAAUUAGUCUUGACAAAGGCUGCAAUUACAAAGUAUCUGGCCCAGCCAACAUGACCGAAGACUGGCAUUACGACUGCAAACAAGCAUGGGGGCUCUGGCCAGCCUCUGUCGAGUACCCAGAGCCCAACAGGCAGCUGGCCCUGGCCUUUGUCCCCCUUGUCCCUGACCCCCCUGCCUCCCUCUCUGUCCCCUUUGGAGGUCUCCUGCUGACUUGAAAAUGUGAGGUGGUUUUGGGAGGAUGAGGACCGCCACGUCCUUAGGAGUGCUGGCCUCUCGAGAAACCCCGAUUCCUUGCGUCAGCUCCUGCGUUGUCUCUGGAGUAUCGACUCUUGCGUGGAGAGCAGCUCUGCCCUUGGUUUUUGUUCUGUUUUUUUUUUUUUUUUUAAAGAUUUGUUUAUUUAUUUGAAAGUCAGCAUUACACAGAGAAAGAAGGAGAGAGAAAGAGAGAGAGAGAGGUCUUGCAUCUGCUGGUUCACUCCCCAACUGGCCGGAGCUGGGUGGAUCCGAAGCCAGGAGCCAGGAGCUUUUUCCAGGUCUCUCACGAGGGUGCAGGGGCCCAAAGACUUGGGCCAGCCUCCACUGCUUUCCCAAGCCAUAGCAGAGAGGUGAGCUGGAUAGGAAGUGGAGCAGCCGGGUCUCGAACUGGCCCCCAUAUGGAAUGCCGGCACUGCAGGCUAACAGGGGCAAGGAUCCAGGGCCAGAGGCACACAGGCCUCUUGUCACAGCUGAGUCCCAACAGGCAGGCUGCUGAAAGACAGCAGCUAAGUUCACAGGGCCUUGGUGAACCAGACACUGGGCUGGGCGUUUCACACACGGCCCUGGUUUCAUUCCCAUUCAGUCUCUGACAAAGGUCCUGGUUUUUCUACAUAUAUGAGGAGAUUCAGGCUUAGAGGUGGGGCAAGGAGUGGGUUUGGUUUGAUGGCACAAAAGCCUUGUUUGCCUGGUUUAGCACUGCAAGUCCCUACUUCCGGAAGUCAGGGACGGUUGGCUGCCUUCUCAGGUUCAUUGACCUUGGCAAGCAUAGCUGGGAGGCUGCAGCCCACUCAUUGCCAAGAGUGACUCUAGGUACUGUGGAUACAGAGGUGAAUAAAGCAAGUUCUUCACAGAACUAAGGUUCUCAUUAAAAAAAAAAGAUUUCUUUCUUUAUUUAAAAGGCAGAGUUGGAGAGAGGCCUUCCAUCCACUGGUUCACUCCCGAAAUGGCCAUGAUGGCCAGAGCUGGGCCAGGCUGAGACUAGGAGCUCAGAACUCCAUCUGGGUCUCCCAUGUGGGUGCAGAGUCUCAAGCACUUGGGCCAUCCUCUGCUGCUUUCCCAGGUGCUUAAGCAGGGAGCUGGAUCUGAAGGGAAGCAGCCGGGACACGCACUGGCACUCAUGUGGCAGCUUAACCCCCUGUGCCACAAUGCCAGCCCUAGAGUUAAGAUUCUUGUAGGAAAGUGUGGGCAGAUAAUGAACAUAUGCCACGUGUCAGGUAGUGAUAAAGAAACUGCGGAAGGCAGCAGCAGCAGAGGACUCGUGAGGAUAGGGGGCUGGUUUGGUAUUUUAAACAGGGCACUUGAGGAGGAUCUUUGUGCUUGAACAGAAACCUGAAAGAAGUGGGAGAGGGGCCGCUGAUUUGCUUUGGGGACGAGCAGACUUCAUCUAUUUUUGAGUGAGUGCAGGGGCAGGCACUGUGUGUAGCGGGUAAAGCUGCCACCUGCAGUGCCAGCACCCCUUAUGGGCACUGGUUCAUGUCCUGGCUGCUCCACUUCCUAUCCAGCUCCCUGCUAUGGCCUGGGAAGGCAGUAGAUGACCCAAGUCCUUGGGCUCCUGCACCCACGUGGGAAGACCUGGAGGAAGCUCCUGGCUCCUGGCUUUGGAUCAGCGCAGCUCCAGCUGUUGUGGCCAAUUGGCGGGGCUGGGGGCAGGGGGUGAACCAGAGGAUGGAUAAUCUCUCUCUCUCUCUCUCUGUCUCUGUCUCUGUCUCUCUGCCUCUUCUGUCUCUGUGUAACUCUUUCAAAUAAAUAAAUAAAUAUUUUAAAAAAUAAGUGAGUGCAGAGGCCCUGGGGAAAUGAUGUUUGAUGUCUGAUGAACAUCAAACCAGUGGCCAGAGCGAGGUUGGGGGGCAGUGGCAGCAGGAGUGGUCUGGAGGGUUAGAGGGGGUAUUGGGGGCCAGGUCAAGAGGGCUUCCGCGUCUUACUCUGAGAUGAGUGGACAUUGGAGACUUAGGGCAAAGCAGUCAUCUGACUCAUGCGGUGAAAGAAAAACUCUGGUUUCUGCAGAAAGCAGCAGCGGGGAAAGGAGGGGCAGAGCGCGAGGAGAAAGCAGUCAACCGCCAGAGCGCAGGGCCUGAGCCAGCCUGGAAGCAGAGGAGCCAGAGUCUGGCUGCUUUUUUUUUUUUUUCCAAAGAUUUGUUUAUUUGAAAGAAUUAUAGAGAGGCAGCGGCAGAGAGAGAGCGGGCGAGAGAGGUCUUGCAUCCACUGGUUCACUCCCCAGUUGGCCACAAGAGCCAGAGCUGCACCGCUCCAAAGCCAGGAGCUAGGAGCUUCAUCUGGGUCUCCCACAUGGGUGCAGGAACCCAAGGACUUAGGCCAUCUUCUAGUGCUUUGCCAGGCACAUUAGCAGGGAGCUGGAUCAGAAGUGGAGCAGCUGGGACUCGAACCAGCACCACAUGGGAUGCCAGCACUACAGAUGGCGGCUUUACCUGCCAUGCCACAGCACUGGCCCCCUGGGUGCUUUUGAAAGCAGAGCUGACAUGACAUGGAUUGGAUAUUAGGGGUGGGUUGUGUAGAGGCAUAGGGGCAAGAUUCUUUUUGUCCAGGUCAUAUGAAAGGCCCUCGAUGCUACCUUAAGGAGUUAGUGUUGAUCCCUGCAGAUAACAGGGAGCUCCUGUAGGAUCUAAUUCUCAACCCAUCUGCCCAUCCCAGCCCAGAUCAUCAUCUGAGCAAAGGCCCUUUCUCACAGGACAUACAGAUAUAUUUAAUAUUUGACAGAAUGACACACACAGAAUCUUCCAUCCACUGGUUCACUCCCCAAAUGGCCACAACAGCCUGAGCUGUGCCAGAUCAGAGUCAGGAGCCAGGAAGUCCAUCCUGGUGUCCUGCAUGGGUGGCAGGGGCCCAAGCACUUGGGCUAUGUUCUGCUACCUUCCCAGGUGCAUUAGCAGGAACCCGGAUGGGAAGUAGAGGAGCCCGCACUCUGAUAUGAAAUGUUACCUGCUGUGCCACGAUGCCCAACUCUGAGAAUAUGUUUGUAUAUGUGCUUUGAGGGGAGACCAAAUUCUGGGAUGACCUACCCCCUCCUGAGCAGGAUGGAAAGAGAGGUGAGGCCAGCUUCAUCAAGUGGGGUGCAGCAGGUGGCCCUGACCCUGCCUACGAGCUGCAGUGACAGGGUUCUGUCUAGGUGGCCACACUGCCCACGGAUCAGAGCUUCCUUCUCAGUGCUGUAACGUUAAGCAGACUACAACUUAUCAAGCGCUAUACACAGGAUUUAUUCUAAAUACACACGCAGGAAACGUGGGUGUUCAUUUUACUCUCAACUUUUAAAAUUUUUAUAACAUUAACAUUUUUCCUGGUUAACUGAUAUUUUUUAAUUUUUUUCUCAAAGAAACCUUUUAUUUAAUGAGUGCAAAUUUCCUAAGUACAACUUUAGGAAUAUAGUAAUUCUUCUCCCCAUACCCACCCUCCCACCCCACUUCCCUCCUUCUCUCCCAUUCCCUAUCCCAUUCUCUAUUAAGAUUCAUUUUCAAUUAACUUGAUACACAGAGAGCAACUCUAUACUAAGUAAAGAUUUCAACAACUUGUGUGGGCGCGCGCACACACACAGAACUGAGAGCAAGUUUUACAGUUAAUUCUCGUAAUACAACUCCUGGAGGGCAGAGGGUCCUACAUGAGAAGUUAGUGCACAGUGACUCCUGUUGGUAAUGUAACAAUUAACACGCUAAUGUAUGACGUCAGCGGUCACCAGAGCCUCUUGACAUGAGCUGUCAGGGCUAUGGACGCCUUUUGAAUGCACAGUCUCCAUCGGUAUUUAGACAUGGUCCUAAGCGAAGUGGAAGCUCUCUCUUCCUUUUAGAGAAAAGUACCUCCUUCUUUGAUGGCCCCUUCUUUCUCUGGGCUGUCACUCAGAGAUCAUGUCGGCCAUUGUUUUGCCUCAGUGUCUUGGGUUUCCAUGCCUAAUGCUCUAUGGGUUUCUAGUCAGACCAGGAAGCCUUAAGGGCUGACUCCGGGGUCAGAGUGCUUUACCUGAUAUUUACAAGCUUGGGGCACACGAGCAAGCAGGCCGCUGGGAAAGGCAGGAAAACAACAAAAGCGCCUCUUCGCGGUUUCCCUCACGUACCCCUUGCCCGGCCUGGGCCUUCCCCCUCCUCGCCCCGCGCUCCGGGAUUCCCACGUUUUGAAACUGCUUGUUUACGAGUCCGGGAGCGACGGGGGGCGGGUUUCCCGCCCGCCCGCUUCCGGUCCGUCCAGGGGGUCGUUUCCGGGCUCGAGAAACCCCGGGCAGGAGCGGCCCGCGGCCGGGCACGCCUGUGCGAGGCCGCCGCCCAGCGCCGCGCCCGCACCCGGGGAGCCCACGCCCGCGGCAGCGCCCGGGGGCAGCGGCGUGAGAGGGGCGUGACGGAAGAGCGGCCUGAGGGAAAAAGGGGGCGUUCCGAGGCGAGAGGCGCACGCUCCUCGCCGCACCCGGAGGGAGGGCGCGACCGGGCCCGCCCACCGCGUCACAGAGACGCGUGCGCGGACGAAUCCCGGGACUCCGGCUCCCAGAGGCCCCCGGGGGAGCACGGGAACCAAUCGGAGGACGGGCAGUCUCACCGGGGUAUCCCAGCGGGCGCCGGGCCGCGUGGCGCUGGACUGAUUGGCAGCCCCUCCAGCCUAUGGCUGCUGUUGGAGCAGCCGUGCGUCGAAAGCGGGCCUAGGGCGGCUGCGGUCUGCGCUGGUAUCCCGGGCGCCGCGCCGGGAAGUGGGACGAGUGCGCCCGUGGGUGGCCCGAGGCGCUCCGGCGUGGGGCCGCCGGGUUGUGCUGAGCGCGUUGACCUCGGGAGCUCUUUGUCCUGAUUGGCUGGUGGUCUUCCUCCCCUGGCGUAUGCCGCAGACAGUGACCGGUUGCCUGCCAGGCCCCGCGCUGGGCAGUGCGGGGAUGGCACCUCGGCUCUCUGCUAUGGCCUGGGAACGCAGUAGAAAAUGGCCCAAGUCCUUGGGCCCCUGCACACACAUGGGAGACCCGGAAGAAGCUGCUGGCUCCUGGCUUCUGGCUUUGGAUUGUCGCAGCUCCAGCUGUUGCGGCCAAUUGGGGAGUGAACCAUCAAAUGGAAGACCUCUCUCUCUCUCUGCCUCCACUCUGUGUAACUCUGACUUUCAAAUAAAUAAAUAAAUCUUUAAGAAUCA